ACAAUACAGAUAAAGGAAAGUGUUUGUCAUGUAUGAAUCAUUCUUGUACAUAAAAACGUUAAAACCCGGUGCAUUUGUUUGCACCUGUCCUAAGUCGGGAACCUGAAGUUAAGUGGUUGUCGUUUAUUAAAGUUGUUCAUUUGUGUUUCUCGCAUCUCGUUCUUUAUAUAGAUUAGACCAUUGGUUUUCUCGUUUAAUUGGUUAAACACUAGUUAUCGUGGUGCCCUUUAUAGCUUGCUGUUCGGUGUUGGUCAAGGACUCCAUGUUGAUUGCCGUACUUUGACCUAUAAUCAUUAUGGUUCACUUUUUUUUUUAAAACAAAUUGUGACUUGGAUAGAGUUGUCUUAUUGACACUCAUGAAGUUGUUUCAUUGGCCAUAACACCACAUCGCCUUAUGUUUUAUAAUGCGAUAUUAUUUAUCAUCCAAAAAGGGUUCUUCUUGCAGACAAUAGUUCGUCUUUGAAGUAUAACGAUGUCUAAAUCCUUACAUCCGACACUAAGCAUAACCAGCUUCGUUCAUGCACAAGUUAUAGGAGUGGACUAGAUAUUUAUUUCUUAGAUUAUUAUGGUAAAAUCAUAGAUAUUUCAAAUGAUAAUACUUGUCUUUUCUCUUCAAUUUGCUCUAAACUGGUCUCGUGAGGAGAGCUGUCUCAAAGCCAAUCAUAAGUGGUCACAUGUUUUUUUCCUUUUUAUAUAUAAAGGCAACAUUAACAA
rnacentral:lncRNA from 1 species